UGGAUUCGUCUCGGGCGUGGAACGCGACCGAACUCUCGCUUCCGCCGAUAGACGCGCACGACCACACGACCCACUACACGACCAUUACGCGACCCACCACGGACCACACCAUCGACAAGACUACGGCAACAACGAGGCCGGGAACGACAACCCCUCUGACAGAACAUGUCGGCCAGCCUGCCGGAAACCACCGCGUCACCGGAAGGAUACCGCCGCGCACCGGGGUAAUUUGCCUGCAACGAAAAUCGAGGAAGGGGACAAUCUCCGCUAGAAGAUGCAGCAACAGUUAAAUAGCACAGUGAAUACCAGUAUUAAAUGUACAAAACACUAGAUAAAUACAGGUAUUUCCUUUGCCAAUUUCGACCAAAGUAGCCUGAGUUUGUUCUACUUUAAUUACCAGUGCAAUUUUACCUCUAAUUAACAAAUGUGCUAUCAACAUCUCCAUUUGCCAUUCCGUCUUUUUUCUAGCAACGUUACGCUUCCAUGUAAUCUUUUAUAGAAAAGCCUUUGAAAUUCUUCCGAUACUUGAAAAAUUUCACGCGAGACUUGGGAAAUCGAUUUUGCGCGGAGGGGAUCGAGGCAAUUCAACAUUCCAAUUACACGGUCUCGGACUUGUCGGCUGACGAAAACUUAAUUGCGAUCGCGCACCACCGAAACAGGGCCAAAGAGCUGCGUGAAAUCGUCUGAUCGGGGCCAGAGGCUCUGCAGAUGUAAUUCCACCUCCGUUUUCGAUUCUCUCGCACGGAAGUAAUAACCUCGUCUCACGGGGGCGUAGCGAACGCGUGAUUCCGUGUAAGAAAGUUUCCCCCGGUUCACUUACAUAAUUUUCUCGUAUCCAAUUUGAUGGAUCGGCUUGGCAACUACGAUCGGACGGGGACCGAACUCGCGAAUCUCUCGAAUUCAAAGUUUCUCGAUUCCUGAACUUUUCUUCUCGUUGGCGUUCAUUUUUUUAUUUUCAAUACCCGCGAUCAAACGCAAUGUUUCAUAAAAAUUCGCGAUCUAAUCAAAACGUCUCGUGGAUUGUAAUCUCCGUGACCUUUAACAUUAAAACUACCACGUCAAUCAAAUUGAUUGGUUUUACAAUUUUAUUUUAACAUUCCUACUUCAUGUUAUAUUUUUUUCUGCAAUGACUUUCGCAAC